GAUGGAAGUUUGAGGCAAUAACAGGUCUGUGAUGCCCUUAAAUGUUCUGGGCCGCACGCGCGCUACACUGACAGAGCCAACGAGUUAUUCACCUUGGCCGGAAGGUCUGGGUAAUCUUGUUAAACUCUGUCGUGCUGGGGAUAGAGCAUUGCAAUUAUUGCUCUUCAACGAGGAAUGCCUAGUAAGCGCAUGUCAUCAGCAUGCGUUGAUUACGUCCCUGCCCUUUGUACACACCGCCCGUCGCUACUACCGAUUGAAUG
rnacentral:rRNA from 1 species